rnacentral:rRNA from 1 species
UGCAGCAGGCGACGAAACUUACAAUGCCGGCAACGGCGAGUAAGGGGACCUCGAGUGCCAGGUUACAAUCGUGGCUGUCGUGAUGCCUAAAAAGCAUUGCAUAGCAAGGGCCGGGCAAGACCGGUGCCAGCCGCCGCGGUAACACCGGCGGCUCGAGUGGUAACCGUUAUUAUUGGGUCUAAAGGGUCUGUAGCCGGCCGGAUAAGUCUCUUGAGAAAUCCAGCAGCUCAACUGUUGGGCUUUCAGGAGAUACUGUCUGGCUCGAGGCCGGGAGAGGUGAGAGGUACUUCAGGGGUAGGGGUGAAAUCUUGUAAUCCUUGAAGGACCACCAGUGGCGAAGGCGUCUCACCAGAACGGACCUGACGGCAAGGGACGAAAGCUAGGGGCACGAACCGGAUUAGAUACCCGGGUAGUCCUAGCCGUAAACGAUACUCGCUAGGUGUCGGCCACGGUGCGACCGUUGUCGGUGCCGUAGGGGAAGCCGUGAAGCGAGCCACCUGG